CACUGUAGCUGGCUGCAUGGGGGAGGAAGAUUUGUUCCAGGUGACAGACAGGACAAAACCUCCCAGUUUUGGUGACCUCCAGUCCCAGCACCUGGAUUCCUGAGCUUGUCACUUAAAGGUGCUGAGGACAAGCAGCUGUCUCUCCUCUGCCCUUCCACUCAGGCCAACCUCCGUCUUGAUGCUGGUGGAAAAAGAAGGAACGUGGCACAGUUCGUUGCAGAGAACCAAGGCUGCUGUUACGUCUGAGCAGUGAUUUAUAAUCACAGCAGAUAAAACCUGCGUGUCCAUCUCCCACGUCUCACAUCUAGGACACCUUCUGUCAUAUUAUUCAGAAAACCUAGAGGCAGAAAUCAAAGCUGAAGUUGUACUUUGUCCAUUCCUGAAACUUGAGUCACCAGGAGAUCUGGAGAGCAGAGACCAGAAAUGGGGACCAAGAAGAAGGAACUGAACAAGAAACCAAGUGAUGCCAGUUUCUGGCUGCUCCAGUUACAGGUGCAGUUGGCAAGUGGAUAAUAACAUAGUGAAGAAGCUGUGCCCAGUGUCCUUGCUGGAAUUCUCUGUCCCGUUCACUGACCUCUGCCCUCGGUGACGUGAAGUUGAUGUGCUGCUUCCUGCUGAUGG